rnacentral:rRNA from 1 species
CAGUAGCCACGGUAAUACGAAGGGGGCUAGCGUUGUUCGGAAUUACUGGGCGUAAAGCGCACGUAGGCGGAUAUUUAAGUCAGGGGUGGAAUCCCAGAGCUCAACUCCGGAACUGCCUUUGAUACUGGGUAUCUUGAGUAUGGAAGAGGUGAGUGGAAUUCCGAGUGUAGAGGUGAAAUUCGUAGAUAUUCGGAGGAACACCAGUGGCGAAGGCGGCUCACUGGUCCAUUACUGACGCUGAGGUGCGAAAGCGUGGGGAGCAAACAGGAUUAGAUACCCCUGUAGUCCCUGUCUCUUAUAU